AUUGAACGCUGGCGGCAGGCCUAACACAUGCAAGUCGAGCGGAUGAAGGGAGCCUGCUCCUGGAUUCAGCGGCGGACGGGUGAGUAAUGCCUAGGAAUCUGCCUGGUAGUGGGGGAUAACGUCCGGAAACGGGCGCUAAUACCGCAUACGUCCUGAGGGAGAAAGUGGGGGAUCUUCGGACCUCACGCUAUCAGAUGAGCCUAGGUCGGAUUAGCUAGUUGGUGGGGUAAAGGCCUACCAAGGCGACGAUCCGUAACUGGUCUGAGAGGAUGAUCAGUCAAACGGGAACUGAGACGGGGUCCAGACCCCAAGGGGAGGCAGGGGGGGGGAAUUUUGGAAAGGGGGGGAAACCCUGAUCCACCCAUGCCGGGGGUGUGAAGAAGGUUUUCGGAUUGAAAAUCCGUUUAAGUUGGGGGGAAGGGGAGAAAGUUAAAACCUUGCUUUUUGACCGUUACCAACAAAAAAAGCACGGGCAAAUUUGGG
rnacentral:rRNA from 1 species